CACGUAGGGGGCGAGCGUUGUCCGGAUUUAUUGGGCGUAAAGAGCUCGUAGGCGGUUCGGUAAGUCAGAUGUGAAAGUCCAGGGCUCAACCCUGGGAAGCCAUCUGAUACUGUCGUGACUAGAGUCCGGUAGGGGAGCACGGAAUUCCUGGUGUAGCGGUGAAAUGCGCAGAUAUCAGGAGGAACACCAGCGGCGAAGGCGGUGCUCUGGGCCGGAACUGACGCUGAGGAGCGAAAGCGUGGGUAGCGAACAGG
rnacentral:rRNA from 1 species